rnacentral:rRNA from 1 species
CAGUCGCCGCGGUAAUACAGAGGCCUCAAGCGUUGUUCGGAUUCAUUGGGCGUAAAGGGUGCGUAGGCGGUUCCGUAAGUCGGAUGUGAAAUCUUGGGGCUCAACCUCAAAACUGCAUUCGAUACUGCGGAGCUAGAGGACUGGAGAGGAGAGUGGAAUUCACGGUGUAGCAGUGAAAUGCGUAGAUAUCGUGAGGAAGACCAGCGGCGAAGGCGGCUCUCUGGACAGUUCCUGACGCUGAUGCACGAAGGCCAGGGGAGCAAACGGGAUUAGAUACCCGCGUAGUCCCUGUCUCUUAUAA